GAUGAACGCUGGCGGCGUGCUUAACACAUGCAAGUCGAACGGAGUUGUCUCGCUGAAGCGAGCUUGCUCAAUUCUUGAGGCAACUUAGUGGCGGACGGGUGAGUAACGCGUGGGUGACCUGCCUUAUACUGGGGGAUAACACUUAGAAAUAGGUGCUAAUACCGCAUAAGCGCACAGUUCUGCAUGGAACAGUGUGAAAAACUCCGGUGGUAUAAGAUGGACCCGCGUCUGAUUAGAUAGUUGGCAGGGUAACGGCCUACCAAGUCUACGAUCAUUAGCCGAACUGAGAGGUUGAACGGCCACAUUGGGACUGAGAUACGGCCCAGACUCCUACGGGAGGCAGCAGUGGGGAAUAUUGGGCAAUGGGCGAAAGCCUGACCCAGCAACGCCGCGUGAAGGAAGAAGGUCUUCGGAUUGAAACUUCUUUAUGAGGGCGAAGGACGUGACGGUACCUCAUG
rnacentral:rRNA from 1 species